AUGCUUUCUCUGCAUCUAUUGAGAUCAUAUGAUGUUAAUCUUUCAUUUUAUUAAUGUGGUGUAUCACAUUUAUUGAUUUUUGUAUGUUGAGCCACCCUUUCAUCUCACGGAUAAAUCCCACUUGAUCAUGGCGUAAAAUUCUUUUAUUUGUUUUAUUUUAAUAAAUUUAUUAAUUAAUUUAUUUUUGGCUGCAUUGGGUCUUCGUGGCUGCACGUGGGCUUUUCUCUAGUUGCGGAGAGCGGGGGCUACUCUUUGUUGCGGUGCGCGGGCUUCUCAUUGAAGUGGCUUCUCUUCUUGUGGAACAUGGGCUCUAGGUGUGUGGGCUUCGGUAGUUGUGGCACGUGGGCUCAGUAGUUGUGGCUCGCGGGCUCUAGAGCACAGGCUCAGUAGUUGUGGUGUGUGGACUUAGUUGCUCUGCGUCAUGUGGGAUCUUCCUGGGCCAGGGCUCGAAACUGUGUUCCCUGCAUUGGCAGGCAGAUUCUUAACCAAUGUGCCACCAUGGAAGUCCUAAAAUUCUUUUAAUGUGAUGUUGAAUUUGGUUACCUAGUAUUUUUUGGAGAAUUUUUGCAUCUGUAUUCAUUAGGCGUAUUGGCCUGUAGUUUUCUUUUCUUGUAGUAUCCAUAUCUGUCUUUUUUUUUUUUUUUUGCAGUACGUGGGCCUCUCACUGUCAUGGCCUCUUCCGUGGUGGAGCACAGGCUCUGGACAUGCAGGCCCAGCGGCCAUGGCCCACGGGCCCAGCCGCUCCGCGGCAUGUGGGAUCCUCCCAGACCGGGGUACAAACCCGUGUCCCCUGCAUCGGCAGGCAGACCCUCAACCACUGUGCCACCAGGGAAGCCCCAUAUCUGUUUUUGGUAUAAAGUAAUGCUAGCCUAAAAAACUGAGAUUGGAAAUGUUGCCUACUCUUCAAUUUUUUGGAAGAGUUUGAGAAUGAUUGGCAUUCAUUCUUAUUUAAAUGUUUGGUAGAACUUAUCGGGGAAACCAUCUGGUCCUGGGAUAUUCCUUGUUGGGAGGUUUUUGAUUACUGCUUCAAUCUCUUUACUGGUUACUGACCUGUCAGAUUUUCUAUUUCUUCAUGGUUCAGGGUUAGUAGGUUGUUUGUUACUAAAAAUUUAAUUAAUUUCUUCUAGGUUGUCCAAUUUGUUGGCAUAUAAUCAUUCAUAGUAGUCUCUUAUGAUCCUUUGUGUUUUAUCAGUUGUACUGUUGCCUUUUUCAUUUAUAAUUUUACUUGUUUGAGUACUCAUUUUUUUCUUGGUGAGACUAGCUAAAGGUUUGUCAAAUUUGUUUAUUUUUUCAAAGAAUCAGCUCUUCGUUUCAUUGAUCAUUUCUUAGUUUCAUUGAUCAUUUCUGUGUUUUUCAUUCUCUAUUUCAUUUAUUUUUGUUCUGAUCUUUUUUUAUGUCCUCCUUCUUCUAACUUUGAGCUUAGUUUAUUCUUCUUUAGCUAGUUUCUUAAGGUGUAAAGUUAGGUUGUUUGAGAUCUUUCUUUUUUCUUAAUGUAGGCAUUUAUUGCUAUAAACGUCCCUUUUAGCACUGCUUUUGCUGCAUCCCAUAAGUUUUAGUAUAUUUUUUCAUUUUUAUCCAUUUCAAGGUAUUCUUUUGAUUUCCCUUUUGAUUUCUUGUGACCCAUUGGUUGUUCAGUGGCAUCUUGUUUAAUUUCCACAUUUUAAUAAAUUUUCCUAUUUUUCCCCUGUUAUUGAUUUCUAGUUUCAUUCCAUUGUGGUCAGAAAAUAUAUUUGGUAUAAUUUCAGUCUUUUUAAAUUUUUUGAUAUUUGUUUUGUUACCUAACAUAUGACCUAUCCUGGAUAAUAUGCCAUGUGUGUUUGAGAAAACUGUAUUUUGCUGCUGUUGGAUGGAAUGUCUGUAUAUAUUUGUCGGGUCUGUUUUGUCUAAAGUAUAGUUCAAAUUUAAUGUUUCCUUAUUGAUUUUCUGUCUGGAUUAAUCUAUCCAUUUUUGAAGUGGGAUGUUGAAGUAACCUACUAUUAUUAUUAUAUUAUUGUCUAUUACUCCUUCAGAUCUGUUAAUAUUUGCUUAAUAUAUUUAAGUGCUCUGAUGUUGGAUGCAUAUAUACUUACAAUUGUUAUAUUAUCUUAAUGAAUUGACCCUUUAUCAUUAUAUAAUGACCUUCUUUGUCUCUUGUUACUAUUUUUUACUUGAAGUCUAUUAAUUUUGUCUGCUAUAAGUAUAGCUACCCCGCUCUCUUUUGGUAUCCAUUUGUGUGGGAUAACAUUUUCCAUCCCUUCACUUUGAGCUUAUGUGUGUCCUUGAAGCUGAAGUAAGUCUCUUGUGGGCAGCAUAUGGUUGGGUCUUAUUUUGUCUCCAUUCAGUCAUUUACAUUUAAAGUAAUUAUUGAUAUGUAAGUACUUACUGUUGCCAUCUCAUUAAUUGUUUUCUUGCUGUUUUGUAAUUCCUUUAUUCCUUUGUUCCUCUCUUGCUGUCUUCCUUUGUAAAUUAAUUAUUUUCCAUGGCAGUAUAUUUUAAUGUCUUUCUCUAUCUUGCAUGUAUUUACUAGAGGUUUUUGCUUUGUGGUUACCCUGAGGCUUACCUCAAAUAUCUUAUAGUUAUAACGGUCUGUUUUAAGCUGAUAACAGCUAAACUUCAAUUGCAUAUGAAAAGUCUACUGUUUCAUUUCCCCCUCCACAUUUUAUAUUUUUGAUGUUACACUUUACAUCUUUUUAUAUUGUGUAUCCAUUAAUAAGUUAUUGUAACUAUAGCUAUUUUUAUUACUUUUGUUCUUAAACCUUUAUAUUAGUGUUAAGUGGUUAAUAUACCACCAUAUUACAGUAUUAGUGUAUUCUGAAUUUGAUUAUAUAUUGCCUUCACUAGUGUGCUAUUUAUUUUCAUAAGUUUUCAUGUUACUAGUUGGUAUCCUUUCAUUUCAUCUUCAAGAAUUGCUUUCAGUGUUUCUUGUGAGGUAGGUGUUAGGAAAUUCUUUAUCUCAUCUUCAUUUCUGAAGGAUAACUUCGCUGGGUAUUCUCGGGAUGGCAGUUUUUUUUCUUUCACCACUUUGAAUAUAUCUUCCCAUUCUUUCUUGGUUUGUAAUGUCUCUGCCGAGAAAUCUGCUAAUAACCUUAUGGAGGUUACCUUGUAUGAAAGAAAUUUGAUUUUUCUUGCUGCUUUUUAAACUCUCUUUUUGACUUUGAUUUUAGGCAAUUUUCUUAUGCUGUGUCUUGGAGAAGAUUAUUUUGAAUUGAAGUUUUAACAUGACCUAUGUUCAUGCUCCAUGAACUUGAAUAUCCGAAUCUCUCCUCAGACCUGCCAGAGAAAUUGCUUAUUUCACAGAAGGAUGGUGCUGGCUGAAAGACGCUUUCUUGAAAUGGAGGGAUUACUGCCUUCCACAGGUUCCCCUGAAGAUGUAUUUUAUUUGCAUUUUAAUUCUUAGAGCUAAAAGGCACGAGCAUGAACUAUUGAGGAUAUUAACUCUGAAACUUUGUCUGCAUUGUUUCUGUUUGCAUGCUGUAUAGUGUGUUACAUAGGAAUCUAUCAACAAAAAUAUAUACUCCUGGCUAUAAAUUAGGUUUGACUAUUCAUUUGAUAAAAGCUACACCUAUCCUUUUGAUAAUAAAUAAAUAAAUACACAAUAGAUUGAUAAUGUCUAGUGUUGGUGAAAGUAUGGGGAAGCAGUUACAGUCAUUCUUACAUAUAGUGGUGACUGCUGCAACAUUUUGGGAAGGUAAUCUGGACAGCAUGUAGCAAUAUUUUAAAAUCCUUUUUUUCUUUUAGGAAUUCAUUUAAUGACAACCUAUUGAGCACAGACUAUGGAGCAGCAACCAUUCUAGUUACUGGGGAUAUGGCAGUGGCAAAAUGAAGUCCUUAACCUCAUGGAUCAUGCUUUUAUUUGGAGUGGGAAUGGAGACAGAAAAUAAACAAACAACUAAGUACAAAGUAUGUCAGAUGGGGACUAAUGCUCUGGACAAAAUAAAGUAGGGUAAGGGGGAAUAAGAAUACCUGCUUCUUUUGGGGAGGCGUGUCAUUUAUUUUAUAUAAAGUGGUCAUGAAAGGCCCCACUGAGAAAGUGACAGUUGAGUAGUAAUUUGAAGGAAGUGAGAGAAAUAAGGACAUCUGGAGACCUGAGCAACAGAGUUCCUAGUAGGGGCAACAGUGAAUAUAAGAAAUUCUAAGGUGGAGGCUUCUUAUUGGAUCAAUGGACUAGUGCUGAGGCCAGUGUGUCUUUUGUAAACAUUGAUAAUGGCAUUUUAUUAUUCAAAUUUCUGAAAUGUUUCUGUUUUCAAAUCUAUCAGCCUCUUUCUUUACAGUUUUGAACUUUGAAAAUAUGUUUAGAAUGACCUUCCAUGUGCUCACAAUUAUGAAAAAAAAUACGGUUGGCCCUCUGUAUCUGCAGGUUCUGUAUCCAUGGAUUCGACCAACUGUGGAUUAAAAAUGUAUUGUAAAAAAAUUCCAGAAAGUUCCAAAAGCGAAACUUGAGUUUGUACCAUGCCUGCAGCUAUUUACAUAGCAUUUACAUUUUAUUUACAACUAUUUACAUAGCAUUUACAUUGCAAUAGGUAUUAUAAGUAAUUUAGAGAUGAUUUAAAGUAUAUGGGAGUUGUGCGUAGGUUAUGUAUGAAAAUGCUAUGCCAUUUUAUAUGCGGGGCUUGAGCACCGUCCAAUUUUGGUAUCUGUGGGGGAUCCUGGAACCAAUCCCCCAUACAUACUGAAGGAUGACUGUAGUUUUUUCUUUUAAACUCUACUGAUAAGUGUGUUCACACUUAGAACUUUUUGAAACUAGAUGUUAACUAUGAAAAUGAUCAUGCAGUGAUUGUACAUCACUAAGUAUGUAUCCUAAAAUCAUCUAUGUUUAUGUUGACAGAUUCUUUGCUUGAUUGACCAAACUUUAGUUAGGCUCCUGAACCUUCUCCUGGACUCACCUGUAUACUUCCUUGUAAAAUCCAGUUUUAGCAAGAACCCUGCCAAGUCAGUUUAGCAAGAGACCCCCAUCCUCAAUAUCUGAUCACCCUCUAUAUCUGAUCAGGUUCUUCAUCCUUCACCACCCCCAGAUGAUGCCUAAUUACCCUGGCCUAUCUUCAGCAAAGAACCCUGUUAGGUCAGUUUAGGUGAAAUUCUCCUUAUCCCUGGUGUUCCCCUUAAUAAUUUUCCAUCCACUACCCUCCCUCCCCUUCCACUCCUGGGCUGUAUAUUCCCACUUGCCCUGUAUUUGCAAUUAAUCCAGGUUUGGUACUGAGUCACUUUUACCUUAUUGCGAUAGUCCUGAGUAAAACUUGUUUUUGCUGCUUUAACUACUGCCCAGCUCUGGUUUUUAUUCGAGAAUGUUUAGUCUGCAGUGGAGCAUCUGAGUCAGUCUAGAGUUUUGUAGGUUUCUUAAUAUUAGGAAGAUCAUUAGCUAUUAUAAAGUUAGAAAUCUUUGUGUGAGUAGGUGACUAUGUUUUUCUUUUUGUAUUAGUAUGAAUAAGCAUUUAAUAUGGUUAUAAUAGCAUAUAACUCAAUGUCUUUUUUUGAGAAAAUACUAAUCAUGAAUUAUUAUGAUGGAUCAGUGUUGGAUGAUAUUAUUUUCUGUGGUUACCUUAAAUAUAUAGUUAAAAAUGCCUGUCAAUGCAAAAGAUCAAAUUUGACUAUACUCUACCCAGUGAUGAAUGGCAAAUAUGCUGAAAACUUAGGUUAACCCAGAAUUAUUUACUUUCUUCAAGAUUCCAGUUAUUAAAACUUGCAAAUACAACACUAGAUUAAACUUUCAUUUUUUGUUUCUGGCUUGGUCUAGGUACAUAUGGAGUCCUCCUUUUGGAAUGUAAGUCUUACGUAUGACUUGCUUUGAGGAAGAGAUGCUCGUUAGUAUUAAAAUUUGUAUAUGAACAGUUAAAUGUUAUACUAUUGAUGGGUUAUAUAUCUUUUAUUGUUACUAAUUAUAUUGCCCUUAGAACCUUUGAAAAAUCUGUUGAUAACUUCCAUUUCUAACAGGAAUCAUGUUAUUCAUAGGGCCUCAGCUAAAGGGAUACUAAUAUAUAUAUUAGAGGUGCAUUCAGUGUUGGAAUUGUGUGACCUCUUAUACCAUAAUCAUUAAAACCCAGGACUUCUUCAUAUACUGCCUUAAAUGGGAUUCUGGGAUCCUUCUAUAUAUACUGGUCUAAUUUCCUCAAUGACAUUAGAAGUUCCUUGAGGAGAUUACACGUGGGAAAAUAGCACAACAAGUUUUUAAGUGAAGUAGGGAGGUAAACAUUACAAUUUUGACCCAUAAUUUCAGAGUAAAAUAUGAUCAUUAUCAGCUAGCAGUCAUGUUUUUCCAUUUCUGGUCAAAUUAGGUGUCCACUGUUUCUCUAACACUUGCAGAAAAUUGGUUCAAUAGUCUGUACAUGAAUUAUUCCCCUUUCUGGUAUGAAUAAACAUGCAAUGGAAAAUAUUAAUUAAAGCAAGUCUGGUUAUUCAAACAAUGCAUUAUUUAGGAAAGAUCUCUAAUAUUUAAUGCUAAUUUUCUUUCUUGUAUGUCAACAAUCUCCAUGAUUUUUUGUUGUUUAAAUUUAUAAGUGAUUAAUCAAAAGCACAAAUAGAUAUAGGAAUCUUAAGAUCUAAUAUCCUCAUUCAUAACAACUCUUUAGUAGUGGUCCCUAAAAGAUAUCAAAUACUUAUUGUUUUACAAAGCCUGGUGGUAACAUUCUCUGUGUUGCCUAAGGGUAGCAGUUCUUCAACUGAAUGUUUUUACUAUGACAUUUUUUAUUUCUUGUUGUGAUGUACAUUAAGGUUAAUAUAACUUGUGUUCUUAAAGCGAUUCCUUCAAAAGGAAAUGUCGUGAGCUAGAAGUUCAUCUUCAAACCCAUGGCAAGGACAGCUCUUUAAAGUGAUUUUAAUGAAUUAUCAAUUUUAUUCUGAUACACUACAGUGCCUAUAAAUACCUACAUAUUUUCUGGGAAUGCAUGCAUGAAACUAUACACACGUUGUCCUUUGUUAGAAUGCAAAGCAUUGAUGUCUGUCUUUAAAAACUAUUUUCAAUUUCAUUUGGAGAUGGCCAAGUUUUAAUUAAAUAAAAAUGUCAGGAAUAAUGAAUAAAGAUGGAAAAAUGAGAUAAAAAUUCAUCAACCUGGCAGACCUUGCUGAUUUGGCAUUAAAGAAGUUGUAUUUAAGAUCUAAUUUUAACAACAUUCUUCAAUAAUGUGACACAGUAAAGGAAUAUUCUUCACGGACUACUUUACUUCUAAUUUGCUAAAUAAUGCAUUUCUAAUUGCUAAAAUAAUAGUCAGUGAAGGGACUUCCCUGGUGACGCAGUGGUUAAGAAUCCGCCUGCCAAUGCAGGGGACACGGGUUCUAGCCUUGGUCCAGGAAGAUCCCACAUGCCGCAGAGCAACUAAGCCCGUGCGCCACAACUACUGAGCUCUAAAGCCCACGAGCCACAACUACUGAAGCCCACGUGCCACAACUACUGAAGACCGUGUGCCACAACUACUGAAGCCUGCGUACCUGGAACCCAUGCCCUGCAACAAGAGAAGCCUCUGCAAUGAGAAGCCCUCACACCGCAACGAAGAGUAGCCCCCGCUUACCGCAACUAGAGAAAGCCCGUGAGCAGCAACAAAGACCCAACGGAGCCAAAAAAAAAAAAAGGUCAUUAAAUUGUUAAAUUGCAUUAUAUUACUGAAGUACAACAUAUAUUUAAAAUAUAGCUUUUUAACUGAAUACUUAAAAUUUUUGACUCACAGUAAUUGUGGUGGUUUUAAAAUGUGUCCCCCAAACCUUUGGCACGCCUGUCUAUAAAAUGUGGAGCCUAAUUUCCCUCCUCUUGACUAUGGGCUGUACUUGGUGACUUUCCUCUAAUGAAUCAAAUGUGGUGGAAGUCAUGGUGUGUCACUUUCAAGGGUGGUUGUAAAAUAUACUGAAGCUUCUGUCUUUCUUUUGAAUCACUUGCUUUGGUGGAAGUUGGCUGUCUUGUGAGGACACUCAAGCAGCCCUAAGGAGAGAUCCUUGUAAUGAGGAACUGAGUCCUUCUGCCAAGAAACAGUACUGACUUGCCAGCUACUUGAAUGAACCACCUUGGGAGGAAAUCCUCCAGCCCAUUCAAACCUUCAGAAAACUGAGCCGUGGCCAACAUCAUGGCUGCAACCUCCUGUGACACUCCAAGCCAGGAUCACUGGGCUAAGUAGUUCUUACAUUUCAAUCCAUAGAAACCGGGAGGUGAUGCAUGUUUUUUGCUCUUUUAAGCCACUAAGUUUUAAGGUAAUUUGUUAGCCUUAACCCUUUAAUACUUUGAAAUCAGCCUGAUAGAGUUUUUGGUUUAACUAGAGUGUCUAUAAAGCUGUAUUUCAGGAUGCUUUUCUUCCAGUAGUUUUAAAUUAUGCUCUGGACAUUUAUUUUUAGUAGUAACUUUAGAAACCUUUUGAGUCUCUGUACAAUAGGUAAUUAAAGGCAAGCAAAAGUAGAUACUUUAAGAUUAAAAAAAAACCAAACCUUUUGGUCAUAUUUAUUCUUGAAACAAUGAUUUUUAAAAGUCUUAAAUGUUAACCUAGAUGUUAAACAGGCUUUUAUUGACCUGUAAGAUUUGGAAAAGAUUACUUGAAACUUCAUUUCAUAUAUAACAGUAUGACCACCUCUCCAGGAUUUGCAUGGUUCCCAAAGGGCUUACUUUCUUAAAAUCACUGCUGCCUUUCAAAUUCUCCAUUAAUUAAUUAAUUAAUUCAUGCAUUCAUUCCUUCAACCAACAAAUAUUUAUUAAGCACCUACUACAUGCCAGAUACUAUUUAAGGUCCUUGAGAUGAGUGAUGAAUAAAGUCAUCAUCUUCUGAUGAAUAAGGUCAGUUUGGGGAUGGUCUGUCCAUUCUGCCUCUGUCUCUGUUUCACACCACAUGAACCAAGAAGCAGCCUUCUUAGCCUUCCCCCUCACUUUUCACCAAACCAUUUAUUUAAGGAAUUUGUGUCCAGGUUUUCCUGAAUUUUUGAGUAGAUGGAGAGUUUUACCCUGAAGAAACACAUAGAACUUAAAAUUCACAGUAAGACAUGCCUGUUUUCAGAAGUCCUGUAGCUAUUUCCAGAAGUUGAGUUUCAGGCUCCCUGGUUGUGUUUCCUCACCCUCUUUAUGCCUCCUUCUCUCUUCUUUGUUCUCACACCUUCCCCACUUUUGAUUCUCUGUGUAUACAAUAGGUAAUUAAAGGCAACCAAAAGAGGAUACUUUAUCUCUUUUUCUCCAGUGCGGAGAAUUUUAAAUAUUUCUUCUGUUGUGCUUGUUUUUGCCAACCUAUCACCACUUUCACUUUUCCCGAACUCGCUUUUGUUUCAUUGCAUUUCCUACACAAAGUUGGUUCCCUCCACAAAAAGAAAUGUGGUGCUAUCUGUUAAAGAAAUAAUUUUCACACUGCUCCAAGUAUUUUUUCCCUGAAGUGAAACAUUGAUGAAUAACAUCCAACGAACGGUCGAACUAGUGGUAAAAGUAGUUCGAAGAUUAUUUGCUGUGCAGCCACAUAUAUACUCUGUAAAUCUUUAUUUACCAGUGAAUUAGGGACACAAUGAUAAUCACGUAGUCCAAGAAGGCUAUUAUUUCCAGAGAGAUAAAAAAACUUUUUUUCAAUCUUUAAUUUAAACCCCAAAUUGGCUUUUUUCAACCUGUGUUCUGUUGUUUGACACAGCAGUUCCAUCCAGACCAUAGUUAAUCUUAACAUUAGGAUCAUUAUUCCAUUAAAAGUCUAGGCUAUAAAUCAUACUUUUUUAUGUGAGAAAAAUACCAGGAAGAAUAGUGAGAUUGAGAAAUGUAUGUUUUGGGAAAAGUCAUUAUAAAAUCUUUGCUUAUUUUUCUUCUUGCUUUGGAUAUGCACAGAUUCUUUACCUUUUAGAGGGUUUAAUUAUGGAAUAUCUUUGAAAGCUAUAAAAACACAAUGUUUUAACUUUCAAGUUAGGAGUAUAGAACACAGGUUUAUCAUACUACUAUUGUUAUCCCUAAACAAACAAAAAACUUGUAAAGAUGUAGAUUUUAUAAUGGAUUUGGUUUCCCUAUCAAGUGAAGCAUAUAUAUGUAUAUAUUUGUAUAUGUGUGUAUAUAUAUAUAGUAUUGUGUUGCAUUGUAUGGUAUGGUAUGAUAUGGCAUGGUAUGGUAUGGUCUGGUAUGGUAUUGCAUUGUAUUAGUAUAGCAUUGCUUACCACUUCUGACAAUAUUCUGCUAUUGAUGUUGGCAGAGACAAAAUCCGAGAACAAUAUAAUUUUUUUUUCUAAAUCUGAAAACCUUGAAAAAGAUUCGCCUUUGACAAAAUACAAGGUCUAGUAAUUAAGCUAUUUCUUUCCCUUCCCUUCUCUUCCCUUCCCAUCCCCUUUCUCUGUUUCUUCUUCUCUUUUCUCUUUUCAUAUUAUAGGCUGGAGAACUUGAAAAUACAUCAAGCCAGAUGAAUUACUAUGUGGGACCAUAGCAUGUGCCCAGGCAGAUGUAGAGACUAUUAUCUAUUUCCUCCCUCAAACAGGGAUCCAUCAGUUGUCUUCUCUUAGAAGUACUUAGAGAAUAGCACAGGUUCCCGGCGCGCAGGCUCCGGACGUGCACGCGCAGGCUCCGGACGCGCACGCGCAGGCUCAGCACGCACACGCGCAGGCUCCGCGGCCGUGGCUCACGGGCCCAGCCGCUCCGCGGCAUGUGGGAUUUUCCCGGACCGGGGCACGAACCCGUGUCCCGUGCAUCGGCAGGCGGAUUCUCAACCACUGCGCCACUAGGGAAGCCCUGAUAUUUGGGGUUUUCUUGAUGGCAAGUUGCAUCUUGUUUCUUCUUAUCAGUGGACGGUAUAUAAUAGUAUAUACCACUUACAAAGCACUUUCUGUGUGCCAGGCACCAUCGUAGGCACAUUAUAAACAUUAUCCCUAAGCCUUAGCCUACAAAUAAGGAAAUAAUAUGGACAUUUUAGAAGUGCCAUUUAGAAUGAUUAAGUAACUUGCCCAAGAUUCCUCAUCUCAUAAGUGACAGAGCAAACUUUAUACCUAUUUCUUUAUUUAUUCCUUGAAAAACAUCUCAUUAAAUGCCUACUAUCUUCCAAGUAUUCCAAAGGCACCGAAUAUGCAUAAAUGAGCCAGACAAGGUCUCAGCUCUCAUGGUUCUACAUUUUAAUGGAAGAUGCAGGCAAUAAACAGACAAGUAAGUAUAAAUAUAAAGCAGUGGUAAAGGAUAUAGUGAAUACAAUAUGAGAUGGGGUAAAAAUGAGAGAAUGGGGACUAUUUUACGUUAAAAUUGUCAGAAAAGUACCCUUUGAAAAAAGGACCUAAAUGGAGAAAAGAGUAAGCCAAGAAAAGACCUGCCGGAGAUGCUUUCCAGGUAGAAGCAACAGCAGGUGCAAAAAAACUCUUGCUAAUAGAUAAAUUAAUCAAUGGAAUGUUAGAAAUCCUAGAAAUAUAUCCAUAUAUCCAAAUAUUUCAUGUUUAUAUAUGAAAACAUUAUAUUACAGAAGUGCUGUACUGAUGAUUUGAAAAAAGGUGGGCUUAGCAAUAAAAAAGUUAAUGGGCACACGUUUGUUUAUGUGGAAAGAUAUGAAAUUGAAUCCCACUUCUACAGACCCACACACAAACAUCAAUUCUUGGUGACAUUAAUUAUAAAAGAUGUAAUUACAUAUUUUUAG